rnacentral:rRNA from 1 species
UACGUGAAACCGUUCAGGGGUAAACCUGAGAAACCCGAAAGAUCGAAUGGGGAGAUUCAUCGUCAGCACGGUUGGCUUUCGGACGGGCGCGAUGUCGCGCGGUGGGCUUUCGGGCUCGUCGCGCCGGCACGUGUUCGUGCGAAUGCGUCUGGCCGCGUCGGCGUGCACUUCUCCCCUAGUAGAACGUCGCGACCCGUUGGGUGUUGGUCUUACGGGGCCGUGCUUUUAGACUGUCGCGCGUGUUUCGACGCGCGUUGGCAGAGGCGCGGAUCUUUCCUGACCAACUGCCCGACGGUACACGCACGGUAUAGAGCCGCACACGUUUUCGAACUGCGUUUCGGCCCGUGGCAAGCUCGCUCGCGCAUAAUUUGGAGGUGCGGACCCAGUGCCGUCCCCGAAGCCGAGCAGCUGUUGGCAGACGGUGUUCUCGAACAGGCUCACCCCACUCGAAUCCUCGGAUUCAAGGGUACCGGUCGGCGACGCUAUUGCUUUGGGUACUUUCAGGACCCGUCUUGAAACACGGACCAAGGAGUCUAACAUGUGCGCGAGUCAUUGGGACGAUUUGAAACCCAAAGGCGCAUUGAAAGAGAAGGUCGGCCUUAGCGUCGACCGAGGGAGGAUGGGUCGCGUUUCGAUGCGACCUCGCACUCCCGGGGCGUCUCGUACUCAUUGCGAGUUGAGGCGCACCCAGAGCGCACACGUUGGGACCCGAAAGAUGGUGAACUAUGCCUGGUCAGGACGAAGUCAGGGGAAACCCUGGUGGAGGUCCGAAGCGUUUCUGACGUGCAAAUCGAUCGUCGGAACUGGGUAUAGGGGCGAAAGACUAAUCGAACCAUCUAGUA